ACACACUGAGGAGUGAAAAAGAAAAAAAUAGUGUAACUUAAAUUAAGUGAAACACAACAUUAUCAGUAGUAGAAAGUAACAACGUAUUAUUCAAGGACUACUUUAUUAACAAUUUAGAAAUACUGGCAUAUUACUUAAGUAGGCUAUUUCCAUUUUAUAUUACUGUAUACCUCUUCAGGACAUUUAAGAGGAAAUUAUUGCACUAUUCAAUCCACUACAUUUUUUUGACUUCACAGAUGAACAUUUUAUAGACAACAUAUGAUUAGUGUUAAACUAUGAUGCAUUGUUAAAGAUGAACCUGCCAAAAGUUAAUAAUGUAGUUUAAAGGAUCUCCAUUUUGUCCAGUUACAACAUUAAAAUUAUGCAUCAGUAAUAAUUAGGUAAUGUAUGUAAUAUUAUAGCACUGAUGGAUUUUUUUUCUACAUGUUAUUUUAUUGAACUACAUUUUUGCUGACAAUACCUAUGUAGGCCUACUCUUAAUUGGAUUUUAAAUAUCUGAAUACUUUAGCUACUAACGCAUAUUUGUACAUUGCAGAUACUGAGUACAACAUAAUAUUGGCACUCCUCACCCCACAAAUUCACUGACACAACAUUCCAGGAUUGCGUCAUGUGUUAAUAUUAAUGUUAGCGCCACAGAUGCCAGCAGAGGGCAGCAUGACACCAUUAAAUACAAGCCCUGGAAAGCACCUAUAUUGUUAGAGGAGGAGGGUACUAACAAUGUAGUUCACUAGACCAAGCAAGAUUAGAAACAGGCAACCUCUGUCCCUCUCUCCAUACAACUUUGAAUUGAAGCUCUCUAGGCUGGGACAGUUUUUUAAAAAGCCUCUCUGUACUCAAUACAGUGAGGCACAUCGUCUCCAGACUGCUGCCAUGGCCAAAAAAGCGAGAGCGCUGAGCUGUAAUCCUGUGAGAGGCACACAUACCCUAAGGCUCCAUUUCAGGACCUGCAGACCAGCCUGACUACGAGUGCACUGUUCCAUGCUCGACUGCUGCCAUGGAAACGCCCUGCAAAUGGGCGUGGGAGUGUGAGUCACAUGGUCACCAAAAGGGGAGGCGGAGAGAUUUCCCUACAGACUGGUGCGCGCGGCAUUCUGCUCUUUCUCCAGCGCAGCACAUUUGGUGGGAUACGUGAAGGAAAUGAAGAGCAUAGCUGAGCAGUGAGUCAUGCUGUUUACUGGUAAAAGCCUCGACCAGCGGCAGGGAAUCACACCCUCCCGAUCUGACGUUUCCUGGAAAAUCCCGUUGUUUCGCAGGGAGGAAGGAACAGUACAGAGAACCUUGGAAAUGGCUGGCAACUUUUGUGCAGAAAGGGAGAAGAACUCAGAAUAUCUGAGCAAAGAUACUCUCCCAACCAGGGACAGUGGGAUUCAAAGAAAUGUCAAGAAUGCAAAAAAAAAACAAGGACAUACCCAUCCCACUUUUUA